rnacentral:rRNA from 1 species
AGUGAACGCUGGCGGCGUGCCUAAUACAUGCAAGUCGAACGGAGUGGCGCACGGGUGAGUAAUAUAUAGCUAAUCUGCCCCUUGCUGGAGGACAACAGUUAGAAAUAACUGCUAAUACUCCAUAGCAAGGGAUGAGCCUAUAUCGUCUCAGCUAUUCGGUGUGGUAACGGCCUACCGAGGCGAUGACGCGUAACUGGUUUGAGAGUAUGAUCAGUCACAUUGGAACGGAGUCACAGUCCAACCUCCUACGGGAGGUAGCAGUAGGGAAUAUUGCGAAAUGGGGGAAACCCGGACGCAGCAACGCCGCGUGGAGGAUGACACUUUUCGGAGCGUAAACUCCUUUUGUUAUGGAAGCGGUACCUAACGAAUAAGCACCGGCUAACUCCGUGCCAGCAGCCGCGGUAAUAC